rnacentral:rRNA from 1 species
UAAACGAUGGAUGCCCGCCGUUGGCGCCCUGCGCCUGCGGCCAAGCGAAAGCAUUAAGCAUCCCACCUGGGGAGUACGCCGGCAACGGUGAAACUCAAAGGAAUUGACGGGGGCCCGCACAAGCGGAGGAACAUGUGGUUUAAUUCGAUGAUACGCGAGGAACCUUACCCGGGCUUGAAUUGCAGUCGCUGCCCACAGAGACGUGGGCUUCCCUUCGGGGCGUCUGUGAAGGUGCUGCAUGGUUGUCGUCAGCUCGUGCCGUGAGGUGUCGGCUUAAGUGCCAUAACGAGCGCAACCCCCUUUCCCAGUUGCCAUCGGGUGAUGCCGGGCACUCUGGGGACACUGCCACCGCAAGGUGCGAGGAAGGUGGGGAUGACGUCAAAUCAGCACGGCCCUUACGUCCGGGGCUACACACGUGUUACAAUGGCCGGUACAGAGGGACGGUGCAAUGCAAGUUGCAUCCAAUCUUGAAAUCCGGUCCCAGUUCGGACUGGGGUCUGCAACCCGACCCCACGAAGCUGGAUUCGCUAGUAAUCGCGCAUCAGCCAUGGCGCGGUGAAUACGUUCCCGGGCCUUGUACACACCGCCCGUCAAGCCAUGAAAGCCGGGGGUGCCUGAAGUUCGUGACCGCG